AACGAACGCUGGCGGCAGGCUUAACACAUGCAAGUCGAGCGCCCCGCAAGGGGAGCGGCAGACGGGUGAGUAACGCGUGGGAAUCUACCCAUCUCUACGGAAUAACGCAUGGAAACGUGUGCUAAUACCGUAUACGUCCUUCGGGAGAAAGAUUUAUCGGAGAUGGAUGAGCCCGCGUUGGAUUAGCUAGUUGGUGGGGUAAAGGCCUACCAAGGCGACGAUCCAUAGCUGGUCUGAGAGGAUGAUCAGCCACACUGGGACUGAGACACGGCCCAGACUCCUACGGGAGGCAGCAGUGGGGAAUAUUGGACAAUGGGCGCAAGCCUGACCCAGCCAUGCCGCGUGAGUGAUGAAGGCCCUAGGGUUGUAAAGCUCUUUCACCGGUGAAGAUAAUGACGGUAACCGGAAAAGAAGCCCCGGCUAACUUCGUGCCAGCAGCCGCCGUAAAAC
rnacentral:rRNA from 1 species